AUUGAACGCUGGCGGCAUGCCUUACACAUGCAAGUCGAACGGCAGCACGGGGCAACCUGGUGGCGAGUGGCGAACGGGUGAGUAAUGCAUCGGAACGUACCUUUCAGUGGGGGAUAACGUAGCGAAAGUUACGCUAAUACCGCAUAUUCUGUGAGCAGGAAAGCAGGGGAUCGCAAGACCUUGCGCUGAUUGAGCGGCCGAUGUCAGAUUAGCUAGUUGGUGAGGUAAAGGCUCACCAAGGCGACGAUCUGUAGCGGGUCUGAGAGGAGGAUCCGCCACACUGGAACUGAGACACGGUCCAGACUCCUACGGGAGGCAGCAGUGGGGAAUUUUGGACAAUGGGGGCAACCCUGGUCCAGCCAUGCCGCGUGAGUGAAGAAGGCCUUCGGGUUGUAAAGCUCUUUCGGCCGGGAAGAAAUCGCACGGGCUAAUACCCUGUGUGGAUGACGGUACCGGAAUAAGAAGCACCGGCUAACUACGUGCCAGCAGCCGCGGUAACAC
rnacentral:rRNA from 1 species